AGCAGCCGCGGUAAUUCCAGCUCCAAUAGCGUAUAUUAAAGUUGUUGCAGUUAAAAAGCUCGUAGUUGAAUUUUAGGCCUGACCGGGCGGUCCGUCUUUGGCGAGUACUGUCCUGUGUCGGGUCCACCUUCUGGUGAACCAGUAUGUCCUUUAUUGGGUGUGCCGGGGAGCCAGGACCAUUACCUUGAAAAAAUUAGAGUGUUUAAAGCAGGCAUUUGCUUGAAUAGAUUAGCAUGGGAUAAUAGAAUAGGACGUUGUGGUUCUAUUUUGUGGUUUCUAGGACCACCGUAAUGAUUAAUAGGGAUAGUUGGGGGCAUUAGUAUUCAAUUGUCAGAGGUGAAAUUCUUGGAUUUAUUGAAGACUAACUAUUGCGAAAGCAAUUUGCCAAGGGAUAGUUUUCAUUAAUCAAGAACGAAAGUUAGGGGAUCGAAGACGAUCAGAUACCGU
rnacentral:rRNA from 1 species